GGAGGCUCUUGAGGCAGCUGCAGCUAAGGGAGCCGGCAAACACUCAGGAAAAUUCCCAUUGCUGGGGCCUGGCAAAGCUAGAAGGAGGGAGGGGCGCCUGGCUGGCUCAGUCGGCAGAGGAUCCGGCUCUUGAUCUCCGGGUUCGUUCCCCAAAGGGACUAACAGCUACUUGCCAGGCACUACUGUGCAUUGGAGGAAGAGAAAUAAUUAUACCUUUCAGAGAUUAUUGGACACAGACCCUCAACUGAUUCCUGGAAACCCACCAUUCAGAGCAGAGGCUUAUGGAACACAGGUGAUCCAUGGAGUUUUCACUCAGGUUCAUCUCACAGUGGGCACAGUGGAUCCCUGAUGCCACCCUGUGGUUAUUUGUCCAGUUCCAGAAUUGGAAUAGACACACUCAGCAACUGGCAGAAUUCUCACACUGGUUCCCUGACCUGUGGAAUGAGGACUAUUACAGCAAGAAAAGCGAAAUGGAAGCCACUAGAACUGCCUCUACCUAGGAAAAUAGUAAACUAAAAGCAAUACUGCAUUCUUAGAAGGUUUGCAGAGAUUAGUGCCACCAUUGAGAACUUGAAGGAUGCCAGGAGUGAUUUCCACCACAUCCUGACUCAACUCCCCUAUUUUGGCCUGCGCAGAAAACAUAAUGAUCUUGGAGAAUAACAGUAAACCUGGUUGUUUAUUUUUCCUGGAAGUAGAGAUGGCCAGAGGCAUAAGUCUCUGUCAAUUCAUGGGUUGCAGCCAGUAUUUGGUUAGAUGAUCAGGGAUUUGGAAGCAACACAAUUGGAAAAUUGGUGAUGGUGAGGUUUUGGGAAGAGGUGUGUGGAUUGAUCUCUCUGGGCAAAGAAACAUGAUUUUUGCCCUGUGUGAAUGCUCACCAAAGGGUGAUCUCAGCAGAGGAGUAUUUUAAUAAUCAAGUAGAUAGGAUGACCCAUUCUGUGGUUACUGUUCAUCCCCUUUUCCCAGCCACUCCAGUCAUCACCCAAUGGGCUUAUGAACAAAGUGGACCUGAUAGCAGAGAUGGAGGUUAUGCAUGGGCUCAGCAACAUGGAUCAUUCACCAAGGCCAGCUUGGCUACAGCCACUGAUGAGUGCCUGACUUGCCAGCAACAGAAACCAUUAAGUCCCCAGUAUGGCACCAUUCCCAAGUUGAUUAUGUUGAACAGCUUCCAUCAUGGAAGGGACAACAAACACUUUGGUUUAAUGGAAAUAAAUGCUUACUCUGGAUAUGGACUCCCCUUUCCUGCCUGCAAUGCUUCUGCCAAAACCACCAUCUGCGGACUUGCAGGAUGCCUUAUCUACCAUCUUGUGUUCUACACAGCAUCACUUCUGGGGAAAGAACUCGUUUCACAGCAAAUGAAGUGAAGAAAUGGGCCUGUGCUUAUGGAAUCCACUGGUCUUACCACGUUUCCCAUCAUCCUGAAGGAGUUGGCUUGACAUAAUGGUAGAAAGGACUUUCAAAGAUUCAGUUUGGUGCCAGGUCAGUAGAAAUGCCUUGAGGGACUGUCACAAUGUCCUGCCAGAUGCAGAAAUCAGCAUCCAAUAUAUGGUGCUAAUUUCCCCAUAGCCAGGAUUCAUGGGUCCAGGAAUCAAGAGGUGGAAAUGAAAGUGGCUCCACUCACUAUUAUCCCCCAGGAUCCACUAGCAAAAAUUUUGCUUCCCACCCCCACCACCUUAAACACCACUGAUCUAGAAGCCCUAGUUCCAAAAGGAGGCACAAUAAUGACUCUGUUGAACUAGAAGUUGAAACUGCCACCUGGCCACUUUGGGCUCUUCAUACUCCUGAACCAACAGGCAAAUAAAGAAAUUAUUGAGCUA